rnacentral:rRNA from 1 species
CCAACAGGGAUUGCCUCAGUAACGGCGAGUGAAGCGGCAACAGCUCAAAUUUGAAAUCUGGCUCUUUUAGGGUCCGAGUUGUAAUUUGUAGAGGAUGCUUCGGCGUGGGCUCCGGUCUAAGUUCCUUGGAACAGGACGUCAUAGAGGGUGAGAAUCCCGUAUGUGAUCGGUUGCCUUUGCCAUGUGAAGCUCCUUCGACGAGUCGAGUUGUUUGGGAAUGCAGCUCUAAAUGGGAGGUAAAUUUCUUCUAAAGCUAAAUACUGGCCAGAGACCGAUAGCGCACAAGUAGAGUGAUCGAAAGAUGAAAAGCAUUUUGGAAAGAGAGUCGAAAAGUACGUGAAAUUGUUGAAAGGGAAGCGCUU